AUCACUAUUGCACACCAAUCUUUGUAAUCCCCUGCAAUAAAAAAAAUGACCACAUGGUGCGUUGUUCAGUUCAGAAGUGGGGCAACUGAAAUUGUGCCAAACUCAUGGGUUGAAGGAGAUAAAGUCUUCUGGCCCCCAUACCCUCCUAAGGACUCUAUUAGGCUGAAUGCAGCCAUCCUGAAUAGAGAGCAGCCUGGUCAGGGAUGGCACACAUACCAGCCUAUCCGUCUCCUCAUAACUCGUGAUAGUCAUGAUGAGGCAGCGAGGAGCCUGGACAGAUAUCUCAAUAAAGAUUGUGACACCACUGACAUCCAGUCUGAGGAGGAGAGCCACCAUGCCCUGAAAAGAAAAAGAAGACCGAAUCCAGUUUAUCACUCAGACGAGGAGCCCCAGAAUGAGCGCAGAUUCACCAAAGCCCCAAAAGUGUUAUUUCCAGCGACCCAACUAGCCAGUCAGAACAGCCAACCAUCACCACCUCCACGAAUCUAUCAGACCCUCCAACGCCCCAAUUCCCCCAUGUUGUCUUACCCCAAUGUCCCAGCAUCGUUCCCUGGAGAUGAAUUGGUGUUCUCUCCAAUGAAUUUACUCCAGAGGCCAUCUCCUGAAGUUGUUUCAGAUUCUUCAGAAACUGUCAGGUUGGCAUUAAAAGGUAAGUACAAUUAA
rnacentral:lncRNA from 1 species